UACGAAGGGGGCUAGCGUUGCUCGGAAUUACUGGGCGUAAAGCGCACGUAGGCGGAUUGUUAAGUCAGGGGUGACAUCCCGGAGCUCAACUCCGGAACUGCCUUUGAUACUGGCGAUCUUGAGUUCGGGAGAGGUGAGUGGAACUGCGAGUGUAGAGGUGAAAUUCGCAGAUAUUCGCAAGAACACCAGUGGCGAAGGCGGCUCACUGGCCCGAUACUGACGCUGAGGUGUGAAAGCGUGGGGAGCAAACAGG
rnacentral:rRNA from 1 species